UCUAAUUCGAGUUUCACUUUGUUUACCUCUUGGUCUGAGCCAGGUUUGUUAGUUUCUCGAAGGACCACCCCUGUAUAUCCCUGCGGACAGCUGACCUCCUGACCUUUCAACCCUCUGCCCCUGAAGGACACUGUCUUCUCUGCAAGAGAUGGGAUGUUAAAACAGUUACAUGUUCCGGGCGACUGGACUGGCCUCUGUCUUUUCCUUCAGGUCCUCCUCAGAGAAACUAUUCAGGUCUCCAGCUCUGGCUGAAAAACACAUGACAAUUAUAGGUUGAAAAGAAGUUAGAAGGGGAACUCAAAAUCGACAUACAAUUCCAGGCUGCAUCAUUUGCUUGUGUAAAGAACUCACAGUUUCUUCUGUGUCUCUAAUUGUGGGGCGAGAAGACUUUCAAUAUCAUCGUGUUCAUCUUGAAAAGCAUGGGUAGGAUCUCCAGACCAGGAAUAACCCUUCUCAAGUCUGGCAUCUUCACCAUGAUCAUCAUCACCCUGAUUAUCAUCACCAAUCAUUCCUUCCUCCUCCUCCGCCAAGAUGGGCCUGUUUUCUGCAGGCCUGCAAAUGACAAAUAUCAGUGUCUUUAUAGUAACACUUUAUCCUAACCAUGCAUCACCAUCAGAUCACAUUAAUUUCUAAAUGUAUUAAUUAAUUAGUGUACUGUUGUACCUGUGCUCUUUAGGUAAGAUGAUACUAUCAUCUGACUCUCUCUCCU